rnacentral:rRNA from 1 species
GACGAACCGUGCGAACGUUAUUCGGAAUCACUGGGCUUAAAGCGCGUGUAGGCGGGCCGGCACGUCGGUCGCUGAAAUCCCCCGGCUCAACCGGGGAAGGGGCGCCGAUACGACCGGCCUGGAGGGGCGUGAGGGGGACCGGGAACUUCCGGUGGAGCGGUGAAAUGCGUUGAGAUCGGAAGGAACGCCCGUGGCGAAAGCGCGGUCCUGGACGCCUGCUGACGCUGAGACGCGAAAGCCAGGGAGCGAACGGG